UAUAAGACUGGAGAAUUUAUUUUAUGUUGUUACAGAGAGAAAGAGGCCGUAUGUGAGUCCAGUUACUAAUUUAUCCCCAUCUUUCAAAGAUAGAAGCAGGGAACGACAAAGCAGACACCAUAGACAUUCCCAUAAUAGAAUACAUCACAAUUCAAAAUAUCCCCAAUCUGAUGUAGAAAAUUUGGAAUAUAACCGUACACAAAGUAAGGUAGCUGUUGUUGUAAAAAAACAGAAAAAGCCUACAGUGGCUUCAACUGUUUGGACAAGAAUUCACAAUGCACAAAAAUCAAAUCGUAAUAGAUUAAAGGGAAAAUCUGCUUCAAGUAGUGCAACAUCAAGUGGCAGUGAAAGUAGUAGUGAAUCCACAAGUUCUACUACUUCUUCUAGCAGCAGCCAGUCUUCAAGUUCUGAAAGUGAGGAAUCAAACAAUGAAACCACCCACCGAUUUAAGCAAAUUAAGGCAGAGGUUCAUAGACCGGGAUUCUCUCAUACUACUAGUGGUCAUAAUCAUAAAAGUCCUCUCCGCAUUGAAAUUAAGAAUGACAGAUUUAAAAGAAAAUAGACAUUUUGUUUCACAUAGUUUAUUUCAACGUGAGAAAUAGAUUACUAUAAUUACAUAUUUAUAUGAAAAAAGUUUCUAUUAUUAAAGUGCUUUUAAACAGAA